GACGUAGGGCGCGAGCGUUGUCCGGAUUUAUUGGGCGUAAAGAGCUCGUAGGCGGUUCGUCGCGUCGGCUGUGAAAUCCCGAGGCUCAACCUCGGGUCUGCAGUCGAUACGGGCGGACUGGAGUUCGGCAGGGGAGACUGGAAUUCCUGGUGUAGCGGUGAAAUGCGCAGACUAUCAGGAGGAACACCGGUGGCGAAGGCGGCGAUCUGGGUCGAUACUGACGCUGGAGGUGCGAAAGCGUGGGGAGCAAACAGG
rnacentral:rRNA from 1 species